rnacentral:tRNA from 1 species
CGCGGGGUGGAGCAGUUUGGUAGCUCGUCGGGCUCAUAACCCGAAGGUCGUGGGUUCAAAUCCCACCCCCGCUACCA